rnacentral:rRNA from 1 species
AUGGAUAGGCCAAGCUCGUUGUCGAACCCACUUUUCGAGGAGCAAGGUGAUGAUUCCGGCUUUGUCUCCAAGAACCACUUCAUCGCGAAACGAGUGCUACAUCAAGAGAAGCUCCCCAAGCUCAAGUCCGCGACUUCCACGAGCUACUACGACCUCGACACCGACCACGAGCUUCCUUUCUAUGGGACUCAAGACCCCGAGGAGUAUCUCGAGUGGGAGUGCAAGAUGGACGACUACCUCAAGCUACAUCAAGUCCAUUCCGAAGACCAAGUGAAGCGUGCCUCAAGUACCUUCCACGAUUACGCAUCGACAUGGUGGCUUCAUACACCUUCGACGACCUUCAUCACGAGUUGGCCCAAGAUGAAGAAAGCUAUGCGGCGAGCGUUUUUGCCUUCCACCUACACGGAACAUCUUCAACGCCAAUUGGAGGACACCAUCCAAGGAUCCAAGUCCCUCGACGAGUACUUCCUCGAGAUGAAGACAGCCUUGCGAUGA